rnacentral:sRNA from 1 species
UCAUUGCAUAUUUGAUCUUGGGUUGAUC